rnacentral:lncRNA from 1 species
UUAGAAUAUUACAUAAACUUAGUUGAUAAAGCAAUGGCAGAGUUUGAGAAGAUUGACUCCAAUUUUGAAAAAAGGUCUACUGUGGCAAGAUGUUAUCAAACAGCAUCAUAUGCCAUGGAAAAAAUCUUUGUGAAAGAGUCAAUCAGUGUAUCAAACUUCAUUGCUAUCUUAUUUUAGAAAAUUGCCACAGCCACCCUAACCUUCAGUAACUACCAUCCUGAUCGAUCAGCAGCUGUUAAAUUGAGGUUUCAUUUAAAUAUGACACCAUGGUUUGGAGUCCUAAGCCAUAAACAAUAAGCCAGAAUGAUUCUGCAGCUUUCAAAAGAAGAAAAGUCUGCAAACUUUGCAUGGAAACACACCACACAGCAUUUCUGAUGUCUUUACUGUCCCCUGGUCAUUGUCUUGUGCCCAUUGGAGGAGGCAUGUUUUAGGGUAUCAGUAGUGGAAGCAGGUGCAGCAGAAGUACAUCAGAGCCAGAUUAGGAAGUGAGGACAGAGUCAAGGGGCAAAGCCAACUUGUCGCAUGUCAGAACAGAAGAUGCCAAGAACUGAGAAGGGUGGAUUAUAGAUUUGGAGGCAUGGAAUGGGAGAACUAAUAUUAUAGGAUAAAACUGGAUGGCAAAGGCUGAAGACUUGGGGGUGUCAGGAAUAUU